ACGAUCUCAUCUACCUGUUCUCGCUGCGGUACCGCUUCCCGGACGUGCCCGCCGCCGGCGCGGACGGUGACGUCGUCGACAAGAUGACCGCCAUCUGGUACACAUUCGCAAAGACCGGUGAUCCGAACGCGUACGGCGGACUGGACCUGCCCGAGCUGAGCGGACUGCACUGGCCCGCCAUGACGCCUGACAAGCGACACUACCUCGAAGUCAACAAACAAUUGUCAGUUAAAACGAAUCUUAAAGAAGAUCGAAUCAAGCUGUGGGAGGAACUGUUUCCUAUUGAAUAUUAAUAUAAAAUUAUUCAUGCUCUGUAUCAGUGAUUUUUUCCAUUAUAUUUUUUGAAAAUAAA